CCGUUUUUUUAAUUUCCUUUUUUGAGGUGGGAAAACUGAAACCCACCUUGAUUCGUCCCCUCUCCCCCCUCCCCACCUUCCCUCGCCCUAAUCCCCCAACGAGGAAGGAAGGAGCAGUUGGUUCAAUCUCUGGUAAUCUAUGCCAGCAAUUAUGACAAUGUUAGCAGACCAUGCAGCUCGUCAGCUGCUUGAUUUCAGCCAAAAACUGGAUAUCAACUUAUUAGAUAAUGUGGUGAAUUGCUUAUACCAUGGAGAAGGAGCCCAGCAAAGAAUGGCUCAAGAAGUACUGACACAUUUAAAGGAGCAUCCUGAUGCUUGGACAAGAGUCGACACAAUUUUGGAAUUUUCUCAGAAUAUGAAUACGAAAUAUUUUUAAAAACUCAAAUUUGUCUUGUGAAAAAUGAGAUGAUUAGAGGAACAGAAAGAAAGCAACAGGAAGAAAAGGGGUGUCUUCCUGUGCAACUGACACAGCUAGGCUUUGACGGCAGGCCUCCACAAGUACUAUGGACUACAAAUUUUGGAAAAUGUGAUAAAAACAAGGUGGAAGAUUCUUCCAAGGAACCAGUGCGAAGGAAUAAAAAAAUACGUUGUUGGCCUCAUUAUCAAGACGUCAUCUGACCCAACUUGUGUAGAGAAAGAAAAGGUGUAUAUCGGAAAAUUAAAUAUGAUCCUUGUUCAGAUACUGAAACAAGAAUGGCCCAAACAUUGGCCAACUUUUAUCAGUGAUAUUGUUGGAGCAAGUAGGACCAGCGAAAGUCUCUGUCAAAAUAAUAUGGUGAUUCUUAAACUCUUGAGUGAAGAAGUAUUUGAUUUCUCUAGUGGACAGAUAACCCAAGUCAAAUCUAAGCAUUUAAAAG
rnacentral:lncRNA from 10 species